rnacentral:rRNA from 1 species
GAUGAACGCUGGCGGCGUUCCUAAUACAUGCAAGUCGAGCGAACGGACGAGAAGCUUGCUUCUCUGAUGUUAGCGGCGGACGGGUGAGUAACACGUGGAUAACCUACCUAUAAGACUGGGAUAACUUCGGGAAACCGUAGCUAAUACCGGAUAAUAUUUUGAACCGCAUGGUUCAAAAGUGAAAGACGGUCUUGCUGUCACUUAUAGAUGGAUCCGCGCUGCAUUAGCUAGUUGGUAAGGUAACGGCUUACCAAGGCAACGAUGCAUAGCCGACCUGAGAGGGUGAUCGGCCACACUGGAACUGAGACACGGUCCAGACUCCUACGGGAGGCAGCAGUAGGGAAUCUUCCGCAAUGGGCGAAAGCCUGACGGAGCAACGCCGCGUGAGUGAUGAAGGUCUUCGGAUCGUAAAACUCUGUUAUUAGGGAAGAACAUAUGUGUAAGUAACUGUGCACAUCUUGACGGUACCUAAUCAGAAAGCCACGGCUAACUACGUG